UCCAGCAUGACACCAACCAAGUAUCUAGUUUAUUCAGUGAACAUUGCAUGACUAGUCAAGUUUUGUCCAGCAUUCCAAAUGAAUUUGUCACCAACUACGUUUCUAUACACGUUUCAGAUAAUAUGACUUUUUCUCAUAAUUUUGGUGGUGAGAAAUCAAUUAAACAAAGAUCUAUAAUAAAUAUAUAUAAAAUAAAAACUAGGAUCCUAUAGAUGAAGAGAAUGAGGCAAAGAAACAAAGAAACACACAAGUUGAGAUGUCAAGAUUAGAUUGAGACUUCAAAUCUUAUUUGUGCUAUGCCAAUAAGAAAUGCUACCUCUACCUUUCUAAAAGGGCCCACAUUAGCUACAACAAACUAUCUCUAACGUUGAGGAAAGAAAACAAAACUCCUGUCUGCAACAAAACCCAGAGAGCAGUACCAGCCCACAUGCACGAGGAUCGAUGGUGGAGCCUCCAUGACACAACUCCCCUCCGGUGACCUAUAACGCCAAGAUUUUGUUGGAGACACAAAAUAUAAGGACGCCCAUGUUGCCAUCUAGUGAUAAGAUUCUCUUCCAAGAUUUCAUUCUUGUUUUUUUACUGUUUACCUCUCCCCCUCUACAGUUGUGGAAUGAAUGAGUUAAGGCACGUCUAUCUUCUUGGCAAAUUGCCUCAUCGCUGUGGGUUGAAUGAGUCUUUCUUGGGUGGCAUCUGCCACUUGACUUGCUAGCUCAGCUCUUCUUGGCAAACUUGAUGUGACAGCACCGUCUUCUUUCCUCUCUUCCACCAAAUAAAAAUUGCAAAAUCAUGCUUGAACAUAACCUUUUACUCUGAUUAAAUAUGUUUAUGUGUGGGAAUGUAAAAUAAUAUAUUUUUUCUUCUAUUGAUUCACUUAUACAAGGUUUUUUAUUUUCAAUAUUUAUAAAAGAAUUUAAUAUUCUAUUUACUGUGGGUUUAUUGUUCUAUUCUGUCUCUCUUAAAUUAUCUUAAGUAACGAUUUUCUAUUUAGAAUGUAAAUUCUAAAGUCAAGAUUAAAUCAUUUCUUUUUUUAUUAUAAAAAAGAAGUUUAAACUCGAGAUCUAUUAGAAAGAUGAGCUAUAACUUAUUAAAAAUUAUUUUAAUUGUUUGACAAAUAAUUUUGUAGAUCAUAGAUUAGUAUAUAAGGAUAAUUAUGUUGAUUGUAUUAUUGUCUCAUCGUAUAUAAUUCAAUAAAAAAAAAUUCUUAAAGCUUUGCAAUUAUCUUCUCUUUCAAGAUUUUCUCGUAUUUUCUUCGAUUUAUUUUCAUAAGUCUAUUAUGUACUAGCUUUAUUUAUUAUUUUUUACAAGCUUUCAUUGUAGUUUUAUUAUUGUUUUUUUUAUCAAUUUAGUUUU
rnacentral:lncRNA from 1 species